GGUGGUUCUCGGGUGACACACCUUGGAAUCAGGCUCCCUCCUUUCUGGUUCCAGGUGCAUCACCUGAGAACCUCA
rfam:Myotis davidii contig155174, whole genome shotgun sequence.